UGUAAAGAAAAUGUUCUUGUGGCCAC
rnacentral:piRNA from 1 species